rnacentral:rRNA from 1 species
GAGUUUGAUCAUGGCUCAGAACGAACGCUGGCGGCAGGCCUAACACAUGCAAGUCGAGCGCCCAGCAAUGGGAGCGGCGGACGGGUGAGUAACGCGUGGGAAUUUUUCCUGGAGUACGGAACAACCGAGGGAAACUUCGGCUAAUACCGUAUGAUAUCGAGAGAUCAAAGAUUUAUCGCUCUGGGGUGAGCCCGCGUCAGAUUAGGUAGUUGGUGGGGUAACGGCCUACCAAGCCUGCGAUCUGUAGCUGGUCUGAGAGGACGAUCAGCCACACUGGGACUGAGACACGGCCCAGACUCCUACGGGAGGCAGCAGUGGGGAAUCUUGCGCAAUGGGCGAAAGCCUGACGCAGCCAUGCCGCGUGAGUGAAGAAGGCCUUCGGUUGUAAG